ACAGUCUUAGUUUAUUUAGAAUAAUAGUUUGUCUAACUAUGGGUGAUUUUAUCAGAUUGUU
rnacentral:tRNA from 1 species